CGGUGACUGAAGUAGCUGUAUGAGAAUUAGGAUCCCAUGUUACUUUAACAAAUUCACUGAAACCACGCUUCAUUGGAACCCCAAUCCUCAACUUCUUCUCAUUUGUUGGAAUCUCCCAGCCUUUUGGAGGAGAGGUGGUAUCCCCUGGCCAUAUGAUGGGGCCAAGAUUUGGCUUAUGAGUAGAAUUAGUGCUUCUGUUUGCCAAAUUCAAUUCUUUUACAAGUCCACUUUUUGGUGUCCAAAACCCGACUCUUCUUUCCCCAUUUCCAUUUACGUUAACAAUCUGAAAAACUGGUGAUUGUAGCUGUCCAUUAACAAAAUUAAUGUCUCCAGUAAGACCCUUGAAUUUAGUGCUUGACAAUGCUUGGAUAAGUUGUGGACCAUUUUGUGAGACGCCGAGAGAUUCAAGAUUUGUUCCACUGCUGGAAACAUUAGUUUUGUUGAAGCUGAAGUUUCCCAUGCUAACAUUCUCAAUUGCCAUGGCUAGUGCAAAAGUGGCAUCAUAAGCCCACGGUCCAAAAAUGUUCAACUCAGCAUUAAUAAUGGUGGGAUUGUCUUGCUGGAAUUUCCUUUUCCAUCGAACUUUAAAAUUUUCUAACUCAUUUGUUCCGGGAAAGUAAGUCCUUACACCUAAAACCCCUUGCAUGGAAUCGAUGGUUGGAGGGUCUGUUAAACUCCAAAGAUUAGUCAUUCCAUCUGUCACGAUCCAAGCAUAGCCUUUACUCAUCAUUCCAACCUCUUUCGCUAAUGCAAAAAGCCUGGUGCCGAGAAAUAGUGGCAUGUGCACAAUGAACACUCUUGUUUGCAUCGUCAAUAGCUUGUAAAGCUCUUCUGAAAUUUGGUCAUCGCUAGCCGGUGAAGGGAUGACACUCCGGUAUGGGACACGAACAUUGAUCCCUUGCAAGGCGUCUGUCAAGUAAGGUAUAAUACCCUCUCCAAAUUCAUCGUCUAUGUAGAUUGGCACAGCUUCUCUCCAUCCAAAGGCUACAACAAUUGUACUAAUGGCUUUCACUUUAGAUGAGUCAUUUUGUGUAGCUCGGAAAAAGUAUGGACUCCGAAGGGAGGUAAGAGAAGGGCUUGUUGCCGAAAAUGAAAUGAUUGGAACUUGAGAUUUGUUUCCGAGAUUGAUAAGAAAAUUGGCCUGCAUUGAAGUGUGCGGCCCUAUGAUUGCUUGCACUUGUACAUUUUUUAUCAAGUCAAGAGCUGUUUGUCAAGCAAACAAAAUUCUGACUUAAAUAUAGUUGCUGUAGCUGGAUAAUCCUAGAUUAUAUAUGCUCUGACUACUCGUUAACUAAAUCUAUAUAUGCUCUGACUACUCGUUAACUAAAUCUACAUAUGUCUCAUGCCAAUUAUAUUUUUGCAAUAUACACAUACUUCUCUAUGGUAAUAAUACCUAUCACUCCUUUUCUUUAAGUCAUUUUCAAGAUAAACUAGUACAAAUAUUUUAAUAGAUUUUAAGCCAAAUAUUCUCGAUACAGCUAGUCUCGAGUUCAUAGUAUAAAAAUAUAUAUAUAUAUAUAUAUAUAAAGUGAAGGCAAAUUGAUCAGUCACAAAAUCUAAGAUAUACUAUAUUUAGCCCUUUUAUAUUAUUUUAUUUCAAUAUAAUACAAGUUAUUCAUUUAAAUUUGAUUUUAUAUAUAAAAUUUUUUCAAACUUAUUUUAUAGAAGGAGAAUUCAAACUUAAUUUUUAUAAAAAAGAUAAAUUAAUAUAUAUAUAUAUAUUUGAGAAUCAAAUAAUCAAGUAAGUAAAUAUUUAUAUAUAUUUUUUAAUACCGUAAAUCUUUUCCACUUAAAUAUUUGACUUCUUUAUAAGUAUAUCUUUCAUCUACUUAAAUAUUUAUAUUUUUAAAUAUUUUUUUAAUGUAGUCCUUCAACAUCUCAAUUUUAUUCAAUUUAAUUCAUGUACUAUACAUUUUUAUUUAAUUUAAUCUCUAUGUUGUGACACAAAAAAUUUUUAAAAUUUUUUUAAUCUAUCACAUGGCACUGACACGCUAGCAUGUCAAUGUCACAUCAACAUAUUAGUGCCAUGUGGUACUACCACAUCAUCAUAUUAGUGCCACAUGGCAUGCCACAUCAUCAUAUGGGUGCCACAUCAUCAUUGAUAUCAAUGCUGAUAUCAUCAUUUUAACAAAAAAAAUUGGAUACUGUUAAAAGAGGGAUUAAAUUGAAAAAAUUCUCAAAAUCAAAAUAUUAAAUUAUUUCGAUUUUGAAUAUAGGGAUUGAAUUGAACAAAAUACAUAAAUAUAGGGACUUGUUGGAUGUUUUGAUUAAGGUUGAAAGUUAAGAUUUCUAAAAGUUUUUCAUAUAUAUCAACUUUUUUUUUCUGAAAAAAAGGAAAAGGAAAGUCACAUGGAGAGAGGUGACAGAGGAAACGCGUACCAGCAGCAGCGGCGCCAAUAACGUCCUUGGAGUCCCUGGGGUUCAAGACAAUCCUGGUUCUGUAGGAAGCAUGAGUGGCGUAAAAGUCAGAGAGGGCCAUGUUGAUGCAGCUCAACCCAAUCUUCCCAAGCUUUGUAUCCAAGUCAAGAACCACCCCCACAUUAACAGGGAUGCUAUUGUUGUUUUGUGCAACAACCACAUGCAUCAACAAAACCUUGCACGAAAUGACCACGAGGUAGAAAAAAUGGAGGGGAGGGCUAGUUACUGCGGUAGCUUUUUGCAUCUUCAUUGAAGCUCUUGAGCAGGGUCUGGCCUUCACAAGAAGAUACUGAUAUUUACACUGGAUGAAUAAAAGAGCCGCAAUUGGAGAAAUUGCAUGGGUAAAUUCUGAAGGAUAUGGUUAGCACAACUCAAGACUGAAGAGUGAAUAAUUAAAUAAUAAUAAAAAACUUAUCUCCUCCUCCUUACAUAAGGGAGUGGGACAAUGUCGAUCUGAUGCCUAGAGAUAGAAUUUGUCUUGUUUCAGUAUCAAUCGUUUACCUUGACCAAAUCAAAAUACAGACAAAAAAAAAUCGACAUCACCUUGUUGCUCUCAAAUUAAUUAGAAAAGAAAUUCUGCUCCUCCAAAUUUGUAUCCUACGAAGAUUCUAUUGGAAGGGAAAUAACGGUCGGUCAGAGAUUGGUGGAUGGCUUUUCAUCAAGUUCCAAUCGUAUAUUUUGUCAGCAGGCAGGCAAGGAAAUUUGAGGCAGCUGGUGGCCCCUACUUUGGGUGUUGAAUAAAAAAAAAACACAAAUGAAAAACAUUACAUGUCCUAUUGGCCAUUGGGGGAAUAUCAGGACGACUGCCAGGAAACAAGUAACCCAAACAGUAGUCUACUACACAUGUUUAGAAGAAAUUUCAAGCUUUGACUUGAAUAAAACAUGGAGUAGUUUUGAGUUAUUUAAUAUUGUGCCAAAAAUAUAAAGAGAAGUUAAACUAAAGACAUGUAAAGUAACAUUUUAUGAAACUAAAAUUACUUAUCUUACCUUUGUAUUUUACUAGUACAUUUCAGGAUUUAUAUUUUCCAAGUUAGGCCAAUUUUUCUUUCUUUGAAAAGUUUUUGUCUUGUAAAAAUGUUGAAUUUGAGUAGCCUACUUAAUCAAUCAAUUUGUGUGGCAGCAAAUGUCCUUUCCUAGGAUCUAAUCAAUGACUUAAUUACUCAAAACAUUACAUCAUACAGCUUCUUUUCCAGGAAAGUGUAAGGAAAACAUGGGACUGAAAACUCGGGACUCUUAAUUGAUAAUGAAAGGCCACAAGUAGCAUUUGAUUUGAGGCAAAUUAAGCAAUGGUUAUUAAAUUAAUCAUGACUUGGAGUAUAUUUGUCAAUUCAAAAAAGAAAGAUUCUCUACUUACUUUAUACUAAAAUCCUAUGCUUCUCUAUUAGUAUAAAUUAAUAAAAAAUAAAGUAAAAUACUGUUAUUCUCUUAAUUUUUAAUCAUAAUUCUAGACGAGUCUAUUAAUUUUCAAAAUGAACAUUUUAUCUAAAAAGUGUAAAUAUUGUUAAUAAAAAUUAUAAAAUGACUAAAACACAUUUUCUUUUUUUUUUCUUUCAAACAAUAUGAUCAGUCGACGACAAGAACACCGAUCAAGUUCUCCUUAGGACCCUAGAAGCUCCUCGACUUCUUUUGGCAAAAAAAAAAAUUACAAAAAAAAUAAUAUAAUAAUUUUUAAAAUUAAUAAAAAGUAAAAUUAUCUUUUUAAUAUUGUCACGUCAUCAAACUAACAGAAAUAUUAACAGUUGAUUGAUGGCUAGACCUAUGUGUUUAGGAGAAGAUAUUUUUUAAGAUAAAGUAUUCAUUUUAAAAAUUAAUGAACCCGCUUGGAGUUAUGACUAAAAGUAAAAGUGAGAGUAUUUAUCUUAAAAAUUAUAAUAAUGAAAAAGUAAUAGUAUUAAUUAGGAAGGAUAUGAAGUAACUAUUGCAAAAGCUUUGACCUCAUGUCUUGUUAAUUAAUUAAGGAAACAUUUUGUCUCCUGAUUUUUCCAGGAAACCAAACGCCUCCCUCUUCUAUCCUUGUUUUUCCUUCCUUCUUAUUGCUCCAUAUUAUUUUAUUUUCUUGCACUUGCUUCACAAUCAUAUGGCUUAUUUUAUGUAUGCAACCACAACUCUAAACAUCUUCAACUAGGAUUUUAUAUUGUCUCUUCCAUCCUCUACACCAUCAUAGGCAAAUAUAUCUAUAUCUAAACAUUUGACUCAUUGAUUGGUGCAUGAUCCCCUUACCUAAAAAGCAAAGUUUGAAUCCCCUCUCUCUCAAUUAAAAAAAAAUUCAUAUAUAUAUAUAUAUAUAUAUAUAUAUAUAUUACCCUUAUCCUUUUUCCAUUUUACCCUGAGUCUAGCACCCGCUUAACCAGCUUGACUUCCAAUCUUAGGGACUCACUUUGACUUUGAACAAGGAAUUGAUAACGACCUUUAUCUUUAAUAAUCUCAAUAAUCAAGCAUACUUUUCCUGAGUUGGAAAAUUCGGUGUAGAUGAAAAAUUUGAAUUAAAAUUUUUCGAUACUGACUCAAUUUUUUAAAAGUUUUCCCCAAUUUCAUGAUUAUUUAUUUAAUCGAAUGUACUAAUCAGCCAACAUAUUCAUCCGUUAAAAAUUGGAGCAAAUGUUGGCAUGUUUAGAAACAACCAUGCAUAUGUAUUUGGGACCAUUCUAUGAGUUACUUAUAGAUUAUCUUGAUAUUUUCAAUCCCUAGAUUUUAAAUUUUUUUCUUAAUCAAAGGUAAAUUUUAUUGAGUAUCAAAUGUUUGAUAAGAAAGAUAGCAAGAAAAGGAACAAUAUGUGCCUAGCCCAUUGUUAUUAUGUAGAUUUUAUGUAUUAUUAAUGAACUAAAUAUUUUCACAUAAUUAAUAAAAAAAAUUUAAAGGUUGAGUAGUCUAAAAAAUGAAUACUUAUAAUUCUAAAAAUAUAUAUUUUGAAAUUUUUUUUAAAUUUUUAUCUUUACACAUUUAUAAAGUAAUGUUAUGUAAUUAAAUAAUAAUAUAUAAAUAUUAUACAUUGACGGUAUACUAAAUAUACCUAUAGUGCUAUUUCUUGGAAGUUUUCUCAAAUACAAACCUCAAUAUUAUUUUUUUUUAUAUAUAAAAACGUUAAGCCACCAUCACUGAUAUUGUAACUGCUUAAUUCCAGUGCAACUAUCUCACGGAAGCUGACUAAGUCCAAGGUUGUUUGGGAGUGCCCACCCAAGGGUUGGUUCAAGUUCAAUACCAAUAGGGCAGCUAGGGGUUGUCCGACGCAUCUUGGGAUUGGAGGGGUUCUACGCGACGACACAAGGGCUGUCAAGCUCGUCUUCUCAAAGAAUGCUAGUUAGGGUGAUGCCAAUCUCGAAGAGGUGUUAGCAGUUUAAGAGGCCAUUUUAUAGCCUCCUCCUGGGUGCAUUCUUAUAGCAUUAUCAUUGAAUCUGACUUUAGGAGUGUUGUGUCUUGGGUGUCCGAUCCUACUAAAGCUUCGUCAAGGGUGAGACAACUUAUCCUUCAGAUUUGCUCACUCAAAAAUGCAGUUGCUAGCUGGCAGAUCAGGCAUAUUUCAAGAUCAGUAAUGAGGUUGCUGACAUCCUUGCCAAAUUAGGGGUUGACAGAGUCCAUGAUUUGUUACGCUUUCAGCCUUAAUUGUUGUUGUGACUUUGUGCUUGCGGGGAUUUUUAGGUUAUUGCUUUAGUGUGGAGUUGCUGCCUUUCUCAUUCAUGUGAAGGUAAUGUCUAAUCCGGGGAAUGUCAUGCUUUUGUCAAAUUUGCAAGAGGAGUAAACAUCCAUGAGGGCCAUGUUUCUUACUCUUGUUUAUCAUUUUGCCUAUUUUUGUUUUAGGAUGCGAUUUACUGCUAAGGAGAUAUGAGCACUUUUUUUUGUAUAGUUACAGGUUGUUUCUGGCUAUAUUUUUGUAAGCCAGACUUCCAAUAAGGUCCUGCUCAUUGUGUAUAUGGGAUUUUCCCUUUUGUUAAUGAAGUUUACCAUCUUUAAUUUUCCAAAAAAAAAAAAAAGGUUUAAGCCUCGUCAUUAUUUCAGUCAUAGUCGAAGAAACAACUUAACUAUUUGCAUGCAUUACACAUUACAUCAGGCUUAAACCAACAAUAUGACUCCGUGCGACUCCUUUGCUUGUAAUGGGGACAAAUAGGGAAUCUUGUUAUCCUGUUCUAAACUUUUCUUCCCUGUGAGUUUCCUCUUUCUUUAUCCUUGACUUCACUCACAUAUUUCUUAGUUGAAGCUUCUGCAUGUGCCUUUUCCCUUCAUUCAAAUAGUAAAGGCAAGAUCAACUUUUUCAUUUUUCCUAGCAACUUUCCUUUAUUCAUCAACUUCUAAAACAUUCACCAAAUCUGAUAUAGAGCUCUGUGAGAUGUCUUUCACUUGUUCCAAAGAAGAAACUGUGGCAUCAAACCUUUUAGGUAAACUGGUAAGGACUUUCUCCACAACCUUAGCAUCAGAUAAAGUCUCUCUCAACAGUCGAAUUGGAUUUUCCAGCUUCAUCACUGCAUUAAUGAAUUCUUGCACAGUCUGACUUUCUCUCAUCCUCAGAAGUUCAUAUUGCCUUCUGAAGUUCUGUAGAUGAAUUGGCUUGUUUAUGGCAGACCCCAAAAGUUCUUCUUCAAGUUUGUUCCAACCCUGUUUUGCUGUCUCACAUCCCAUAAUCAGGCUGAAAACGGACUCUGUAACAGCUGAGUGUAUGAAGGAUAAGGCUCUGAAUUUCUUUGCAAUAUCCUCUUCAUAUUGCUUCACCUAUGUUAGUGUGGCAUUAUCUCUCAAUGCUGGUACAUCUGUCUCAUUUUCAACUGCAUUCCAUAGAUUGACACCUUUCAAGAAUGCUUUCAUUCUAAUGGCCCAAACAAGAUAGUUAGAGGCAUUGAAAAUGGGCGUAGUUUGACAUUUUGAUGAAGAAUAAACUUGUGAUGAGUGAGAAAGAGGUUUUAAUUGGCUCACAGAUUGGUUAUCUGCUUUGAUAUCAUGUCAUGAAGCUAAAAAAAGAUGAUAAAAAUAGUAUUAUAUACUGUUCUGUAGAAAAAGGAAAAACAUAGAGCAAGCUGGAGAAGGAAAGAUGCUUCAUUAAUUACUAAACAGAUAAUAUAUAUAUACAAGCAUCAUAUGGUUAACAACUGUUUACAAAGUGUACAAGUGUUAUUAACUAAAACAUGCACUAAAACACCUUAUAAACACUGGUAUAAUAUUCUUAAUAACUAGUACAAUGAAGCAAAAUACAUAGUAAAAAACAAAAUGAUAAAGUUAAUGCAUGCUUUAACUCUAACUUGUACAUCAAUUUAUAUUCUUCAUUACCGACGUUGUCACUGGAGCAAAGGGGAAUAUCUACACCAAUUAUUCUCUGGGGCCAUUUGUAGUGUUACCAAGCUCAAUAGAAUGUCUUUCAGGAAAAGGGAAUAUCUCCGGAGAAGCUGUAACGCUUGGGGUAAUAUCACCAUUUUCAGCUACUCUUCGUUGAUCUGCCAAGAACACAAAGUCUGGCUCUGUUUGGUUUGAGUAGCUUGAUGGACUUGGUGGGCAGUUAGUGUUUGGUGAGUCUCCUGCAACACUAAUACUAUGAACACUAUCAUUUCUGCUUUUGUCUUCGAGUUCGCUUUUUCUGAAAGUAUGGGAGCUAAGGUCUUUUUGGUCGAAAAUUCUUGACAUGAUCUGAAUUCUUCUCCAGAAAGGAGUUUCAGAAUCAAAAUGCAACAAGACAUGCCUUUGCUCAUAAAAAAAUAUUGCUGCAAAUAUGAUUAGAGCUGAUAUUGAGGCGACUCCAGCAAUAAGGAACAAGCCCCCAAAACUCUCAACACCAAGACUGUUGGAAGAAACCAAAGUGUUGAGGUCAGGACAACUGCUUCCCUUAUUGAACCAGGCCUGUUCAAUUUGAUUCAUUUUUUCACCCUCAGUAACAUUUAGGACUGCCCUAGAAACAUCUGCUACAAGAGGGGAACCUCUAGGGAAGACCUAUAAAUUGCAAAAUAGUAUAAUCACAAAGAAACAUCCCAUAUGGUUAGAGAAAAGAUUAGAGAUUGAGAGAGAACUCACAAAACCGAAGCCAUCAGUUCUCAAUUUUGGUUCGACUGCGGUAUAUUCGUAGCAAUAUUUGGCGAGAAAGAGCUUCAUAUAAGGAAUUUCGUCCAAAGUAGCAACAACCCCACCAUUGGCACUUCCUUUGGUAAAGAGAUCAUGAAGUUCUUCCGGGGACUGGUAUUCUAUGAGCUGGGAUUCAGGAAAUCUAAACUGACCCUUCAAGAUUCCUUCGAUAAAGGAGUCUUUCAGGAAACCAACCUUUUCCCCUUUCUUUAAGAGCUCUUGUAUGUCAGUUACCGUAGGUUGGAGCUGUUGCACAGUUAGAAGUGAAGUCAAACUAGCCGUGUAGCUUUGGGUGAGAAUGAGGACGACGAAACACCAUAUUAUUACCACGAAUCGAGCCAAGUUACUGACAACUCUCUCCCCUGCAAUUACAAUCCAAGAAGCAAAGAAAGUAAACAAUCUGAAGUAAAUAGUACAACUUCGUAAAUAGAGAAGGUGAAAGAAUUAUUACGAUGUGCAAACACCAUGGUCGAGAAGGAGAACCAGAAACUCGUGCCAGCUUGAUGCGAAGGGGGUCCCCUGAAAUCUUCAUUUAUUCUGUGUUCUAGAACCCAAACAACAAAUCCGAUGAAAAGGAAAAAGCAAGCACUUGUCAUCCAGAGGUCCCAUGUCAGAGGUUUCAAGAAAACCCAUGCAUUCUUCCUCCUGUUAUCUCUGAUCGGUACAAACAUUGAUACACCUGAUUCAGUGUAUGGUAAUGUGAAGUCCACGUACUGUGACCUGUUUGCCACAAUCGUUGUAUCUCCUACCACCGCAUCGUAUGUCUGUUCAUUUUUGCCAAAAAAAUUAAUGAAAAUUCCUGUUGACAAACUCAACGUAUAAAGAAGAUAAGGAGAUGUUUUACCCCAUUGUACACUUGAAAGAUUAAGUCAUCAUAAGUCCCGGCGCUCUUGCCAUCUGGUGUUGUAAAGGGAAUGAACUCAUAAGUAACAGCAUAAGGCAUUGCAGCCAUUACAGCAUAAAAAACAUCUAUGCAAUAUCUGGUGACUGAAGCAGCUGUAUGAGAAUUAAAAUCCCAUGUUUAACAAAUUCACUGAAACCACCCUUCAUUGGAACCCCAAUCCUCAACUUCUUCUCAUUUGUUGGAAUCUCCCAGCCUUUUGGAGGAGAGGUGGUAUCCCCUGGCCAUAUGAUGGGGCCAAGAUUUGGCUUAUGAGUAGAAUUAGUGCUUCUGUUUGCCAAAUUCAAUUCUUUUACAAGUCCACUUUUUGGUGUCCAAAACCCGACUCUUCUUUCCCCAUUUCCAUUUACGUU
rnacentral:lncRNA from 1 species